rnacentral:lncRNA from 1 species
ACGACUCAGCUUCCUUCUUGAGACUCACCCGCUCAGCGAGAGCCAACCGCAGACGCCGGGAGGUGGGACUUGUGCGCACGCACGCUGGCUUGCCCAGUCCCAACCCUUCCCAGACUGUGUUUGCUUCCAGGGACCCGAAGUUGGUAAGGUAUUUGCAGCGGGACGAGGUUCUCGAGGCUCCCUGUGCUUUAACGACAGCGUCCUUUUGGCCUUUGAGUCAGUGGACAGAAGAGGAAAUUUAAGAAAAAGUAAUUGAUCCGGGCCUGGUAGUACUCGCCUUUAACCCUGGCACCAGGAAGGCAGAAGCAGCUCCUAGACACAAGCUGCUGCUAGGAAAGGAAUCCAUCCAUUAAGAGCAAAAGUAACGAAAGGUGAGCACUGGGCCUAUAGGUGGCGCUGUUGCUCCGGAGCACAUGAAGAAACUGAGUAGGAGAAGGUAAAUGUCAUCCUCAUCCCUCAUCAAAGAAAACUUCUCUUUGCAGCAGAUGGAGACCAUUGCAGAAAACCACAGCCUAUCAAAGUGCAGAGUUGUGCAACACAGUCCCAAUGGAUACAUCUACAAAACAACUCCUGCAUCCAGUGCUCAGAGAACAUUGUGGAGGAAGCGGGAGAAAGACUGUAAGAAUCAGAGGAUCACGGAGUUUGCUUUGAGAUGCUGUUCAGUAGGAAUGAUAGAAGCGACACCUGUAACUUCUCACCAACGUGGCUGCCUAAACAUAAGCUGAACCAGAGCAAUAGCAACAGACAUGCCAACGUGGGUGAGGGAAAACCCAUGAAGCCUCAACUAUACAUAAAGAACUACAGGCAACUCAGGAUCCUGACAGUCUUCCCUAGGGGAAAACACACCAAUUAGUUAUCCAGUACCAAAUGAUCAACCCUGAAUAUAUGCAUAUGAGUGACAUGAUAUAGAUUGAUCAGAUUAUAUUUAGGAGUAUAUAUGUAUAUACAUAUAUGAAUGGAAUAACAAUUAAUUAAAAAGCCAUAAAUUUGAAAGAGAGCAAAGACAGGGUAUCUGGGAGGGUUUGGAAAAAGGAAAGAAAAGAGGGAAAUGAUGUAAUUAUAAUCUAAAAAACCAAAGUAAUUUUAAAGGCAUGCAUCUGUAUUCAGCCCCUUUGAAUGAUUAUGACUGUCCUAUGAGCCUAGAACUCACAUGCAUUUUCCUGACUUCUAUCAUUAGAAUAAGUUCAUCAAGAUCAUGAAAAAACACCGGGUGUAGUGGUGCACGCCUUUAAUCCCAGCACUCGGGAGGAAGAGGCAGGCAGAUUUCGGAGUUUGAGGCCAAUCUGGUCUACAAAGUGAGUUCCAGGACAGCCAGGGCUACACAGAGAAACACUGUCUCGAAAAAAAACAAAACAAAAACAAACAAACAAAUAAAAAAGAUCAUGAAAAAGUAUGCUUUUUAAAAAGAUUGUAUUAAAUAUAUAAGUUGACUUUUAGAAGAAUCAACAUGUUAACUUGUCAUUUUUUUUUAAUCAUAAUGAAAAGAAAUAGCUUCUUGUCAGUCUAUUUAAAGCCUGCUUUGGAACUGUUGGUAAUUUUCAUUAAAUGUACUUUACAUAAUAAAAAUUUCAUUUUCUUGAUUUAAAACUAAAAA